CAUCCAAAAUUCGAAGUAAACAUCCAAGAAAGGUCACCGCAGCCCGAAAUCUACCACCCAAGCAGCUUCAGAAGCGCGGGAGCCAGGGAGCCCGGCCACGCGAAGGACCCUGGGGAUGUAGUCCCCAGGUCGACCCUUUCCGCAAAUCCGCAGAACUAGGCAACACUCAGGAACUACAACUCCCAGAAGGGAGCGCGGCUCCGCGACGCCCACAGUCCCGCAUCGAAAGAACUGGUACAGAACUGCACACCUAAACCCAGGCUUCUUCUCUCCACCAGCACAAAAGUAACAUCUAAGGAGUGAGGUCAUCAUGAACAUUUUCUAAGACCGCUGACUCCAGACACCUUGACACCAGGACCACUGGCUCCAAGGCAUAAACGACUCAUGAAGGACACCUGAGCACUUGCCCUUGUUUUGACCAGUUCCUGGAUGCCUGACAGAACAUGUACACCAGACCAACAUCCUCAGUAAAAACUCCAGACCCCAAGCAAAGAUGAGACUCAUUCUCCUUUUCCUUUCUGAGUCUCCUAGAUGCUCAGUCUGUAUCUGCCCUCUUUAGAUCUUCAAUAAAUGCUACUUUAACUUCCUCCCA